GAAAACGCAUCGCAGUGGAUCAUCAAGAUUACCCUCCAGAAAACGCGCUACAUUUACGACUACCGGCGGGAAGCUAACAGCCAAGAGUUGUUUUAGUGCUGCCUAACUGAAGGACAAAAUCGUCGAAGGGAAUCUAUGCUGCCUGCGGUGCAUCCAGACGAGGAACACUUUUGAACGAACCGCCUCUGCCGAGUGCCGGAUACCAAAUUCGAAGCUGGAAGAGGGCCGAGUGGUAAAGUGCGUGCACUGUGGAUGCCUUGGUCACUCCAGAUGGAAUAAAGUGCCUCCAUGUCCUAAACAUGGUAGCAAUGCUAAAUGCCAACCAACUCUGUGACAACCUCGGUUUCGUGGAUUUCAACGACGACGUUCAGAUCCCUUCGAGUUUCGACCACGAGCGGAGCGACGUUCCCGGCCACCAACACGACUUCCGUCACCAGAAAUCCCAAUUAGAAGCAUGGGGAUGCGAAAAACGGAGGACGCAUGCGUCACAUGCAACUGAGAAUUUGAGGUUUUUGUGGUCCGCCGAUGCCACCAAUGUUCCCUAUGAUUGGUGGUCGCCGGAACGGUCCUCUUUCGCUACAGCCUCCGCCCUUCCGUGUGCACCCUAUAGAAAUGCAUGGUGCCCGAUGAGGCCGCCUCCACCUUCGAACGGCCGGUUCAGAGGUCCGCCAAUGGGUCCGAUACCACACAUGUAGGCACCGAUGAUGAACCCGAUGAUGCCUCCGCCGACGCGCGACCCGAACGGAAAGCUAACGCCAGGUCUGAUGGCCAAGGAUACCAAGUGAGUCGGUUCAAUAGUCCUUUUUUUCCAAUGGAAGCGUAGCUAAAAAGUGGUCAGAA